GCAGCCACCUUUUAAAACGCGUCAAAGCGUAACCUAACCCCCCCCAAAAUACCAUUAAUUUUCAUGAACCCCUAAUUUAUAAUGAAUGACUCCAUAUUUAUAUGGAAGACACCAUGCUAGGAUUAGUAACAAGAAUUUAUAAUUCUCCAAAAUGCAAAUAUAAACCAACAUGGAUAGACCAUUGGUAGUUACCGAACCUAAAUUUACUGCAAUAACACCCACAAGAAAACUCUGCAGUACUUACUCGUUAACCUAACACCAGCGCAUUACAGGAAAGAUUAAAAAAAAGAGAAGGAAUUCGGCAAAUGACGGCCCCGCCUGUUUACCAAAAACAUCGCCUCUUGACUUAUAAUAAGAGGUCCAGCCUGCCCAGUGAAUUUUAAACGGCCGCGGUAUCCUAACCGCGCGAAGGUAGCAUAAUCACUUGUUCUUUAAAUGGGGACUCGUAUCAACGGCAUCACGAGGGUUUUACUGUCUCCUCUUUUUGAUCAGUGAAAUUGAUCUUCCCGUGAAGAAGCGGGGAUAUUUUUAUAAGACGAGAAGACCCCAUGGAGCUUUAAACCAAAUAACAACUUAACUACUUAUCCCACAAUAAAUUUAAGCCCUGUUAUAAGGUUUUUGGUUGGGGUGACCGCGGAGUAAAGCACAUCCUCCACGACGGAAAGAACAUAAUCUUUAUUUAAGAACCACACUUCUAGAAAUUAGUAUACUAACGUUUACUGACCCGACAAUCGAUCAACGGACCAAGUUACCCUGGGGAUAACAGCGCAAUCUACUUCAAGAGCUCAUAUCGACAAGUAGGCUUACGACCUCGAUGUUGGAUCAGGGUAUCCCGGUGGUGCAGCCGCUACCGAAGGUUCGUUUGUUCAACGA
rnacentral:rRNA from 1 species